GAUGAAGAACGCAGCGAAAUGCGAUAAGUAAUGUGAAUUGCAGAAUUCAGUGAAUCAUCGAAUCUUUGAACGCAUCUUGCGCUCCUUGGUAUUCCGAGGAGCAUGCCUGUUUGAGUGUCAUUAUAACCCCUCAAGCUCAGCUUGGUGUUGGGGCCUGCUGCACUGGCAGCCCUUAAAAUCAGUGGCGGCGCCAUCUGGCUCUAAGCGUAGUAAUUCUUCUCGCUAUGGAGUCCUGGUGGAUGCUUGCCAUCAACCCCCAAUUUUUCUAUGGUUGACCUCGGAUCAGGUAGGGAUACCCGCUGAACUUAAGCAUAUCAAUAAGCGGAGGA
rnacentral:misc_RNA from 1 species